rnacentral:misc_RNA from 1 species
CUCCCCUCAGGCCCAGCCUGGUGUUGGGGCAUCACCUAGUCGUGGGCCCCCAAAGUCAGCGGCGGGCUCGUCUAGGACCCGAGCGUAGUAGCAUACCUCGCUUAGGGCGUCUAGCGUGCUCCGGCCGUUAAAACCCCCCUUCUGAA